GUCCACGCCGUAAACUAUGGAUGCUAGCUGUUAGAGGUAUCGACCCCUCUAGUAGCGAAGCUAACGCGUUAAGCAUCCCGCCUGUGGAGUACGAGCGCAAGCUUAAAACAUAAAGGAAUUGACGGGGACCCGCACAAGCGGUGGAGCGUGUUGUUUAAUUCGACGGUAAGCGAAGAACCUUACCCAGGCUUGACAUCCUGCGAAUCCUGCCGAAAGGCAAGAGUGCUUUAUUGAGCGCAGUGACAGGUGUUGCAUGGCCGUCGU
rnacentral:rRNA from 1 species